UUCAUGUUUUUCAGGUGGCAUCAAGUAUUCUUCUCCCCUACAUAUACUCUGAAGGAACCAGACAAAUGUUCUUCCCUCUAACUGUGCCAGCAUAUUAUAGAACUCCCCCUGAAAAUAAGGACAAAAAAAACUUCAUGCAUUAAUUAGCAGUAUUUGUUGGAACAAUUCUAUGUUCAUAACAAAAUCUCAUAUAUCUGUUACUUGCAUUCUUUAUUAGGCUGGAUAAUCUUUUGUGUUCGUGCUAUUUAUAUGUGUGAUGUUUAAAAUGGUAAAUAAAUGAGUUAGCCUUUGCAUGACUGAAAAACUAGCUAUAAUGUCUUUAGGUGCUUUGCUGGUGCAGUCCAGGUGAAUUUGUAGCACUUUUAUAAGAGAUUUAUUUUCAAUAAAUUUAUAUUGCCGAGUAAACAAAAAUGAGUCAGCUUUCUCUACUUAGUAUAUUCAUACAUAGAAAUCCCUAAAUUAUACAAAUAUUUUUCGAGCAUAAGAGCACUGACUCUAGGUUGAUUAAUUAAAAUUUCUUUCUAAUUAAAACUCAUAUUAUCACAUUAAUUGAUAAACCAUAAAAGUAACAUGUUUUUAAUCCCAUUUUUGACUCGUUUUUGGAUGAUUUAUUAUGUAAAUUAGUGAAUUUGAUGCCCCUAAUCCUUUAAAUUCGUGUUUCUAUACUUAGGUGAGUGUAAGGCCCAAAUUUUGCCUGAGGCCCAAUAAAACCAAACCUAAUUUCAACCUUAGCCCGAGCCCAAAUCAAAAAAAAAUCCAAAAAAAAUAAUAAAACAGUCCAAUUAAUAAUACAUGGCCCAAAUUAAAACUCCCAUCAGCCCACAACCUAAACUAACCCUACCAGCCCACUAUCUCAAAAAUUUUCAGCAGACUACAAAUUCAACCCCCACGUCAGCACUCCAGACAGGAUCCCCGUAUACCCCGCUCCAUGUUUUUGCCAAUGUUUCACGCCCCUCGUUCUCCACAACUUCAACACCUGCAAUUGGAGCAAAGAAAUAGGUAGAAAAUGUAUGGUUUUUGGCUAUAAAACCUUCAAUUUUUCAUAGUAAAAGGGAGGAUCCAAAAAUUGUAUCACUCGUGUAUUUUUCAAGAAAUCAAACAAAAAACACACAGAAGGUUGAUCUCCGAUUUUGUUCUCUUUAUUUUCGUUUUUCGUUUUCUUGCUUCUUUAAUAUUUCUUUUAUUUUUUAUACAAAUCUAUUAAACAAAGAUACAAAAAAGAAAAAAAAAAGGAAAGAGGAAGGAUUCUCACCAGAUCCGGCCCCGUCGCCGCGUUAUAGGAGCCUUCCCCUCCGUUCGGCAUGGUUGAGUCUAAAAAGGGGGUUGAACCCUUGUCUUUUCGUUUUUGGAACUAGCCUCCAACAAGUAAAAAAGGGGAGAGCUAAAGGAGCCCAUUUUGGUGUAUCGCCGGCCACCGAGUGUGGUGGUGGCGCGGCGGUUGAAGGGCGGCAAUGAUGAGUUUUUUUGAAACCCUGGCAGAAAAUAAAAGAGAAGGGAAAGGGGGAGAGAGUAGGGAAGCUCUCUAUUCUUUUUGUUUAAAGUUAGGGGAAGG
rnacentral:lncRNA from 1 species